CGACCACCAACAGAAAUAUUGAAAUUCUCCAUAUGAAUAUCUUUGACUGCAGGUCCAGUGCCACUAUCGUGAUUAACACAUACUACAGGCAUUCCUGCCCUCGCUGCUUCCAUUUCGGCUAAAUGUACUUGGUAUUGUGCCUCUCGUUGACGUUCCUCCUUCCUCUUUCUCCUCUCUAGUUUUAAUCGGUCACGCUCAGUCAGUACAGGACCAUCAGUAACUUCAGGCUUCUUCUUGGGAACCUCUUCUUCAUCCAUUCCUUCAUUCAUUCUCAUGGGUGUUACAAGACUGCGCACAGUUGGUUUAGUUUUGACCAGUCCAUGCUUCCCAAACUUUUCUGAGAUUUUACUACAAACCGUGCGGCACUCGGAGAAGUCAGAAACGCAGCCGGCACCAACGAGGAGCUCACCAAGAGCGUCAAAAGCUCCUUCGCCAUCCUCACCGAACUCGAAAUCCUCGUCCGCAAGAACAUUGACGAUGUAGUCGAUGAUGGGCUGAUCCACAUCCUGAGUUCUCUGUCCAAGAACCUCGUGCACCACUGAGCUCGCCACCUCCGUCAUCUCGAGAACCCAAAAUUGAGGGGGGCUCUUGAGCAGAUGAAGAUUGGCUGCUGAAUCUACGGCUUUGGCGCUAUUUGCCCUCCUUCAGCAGGAGAUUCGUCGGCCUUCCAACUCCAGCAGUUGGUCG
rnacentral:misc_RNA from 1 species